UACGAAGGGGGCUAGCGUUGCUCGGAAUCACUGGGCGUAAAGCGCACGUAGGCGGACUCUUAAGUCGGUGGUGAAAUCCUGGAGCUCAACUCCAGAACUGCCUCCGAUACUGGGAGUCUCCGAGUCCGGGAGAGGUGAGUGGAACUGCGAGUGUAGAGGUGAAAUUCGUAGAUAUUCGCAAGAACACCAGUGGCGAAGGCGGCUCACUGGCCCGGUACUGACGCUGAGGUGCGAAAGCGUGGGGAGCAAACAGG
rnacentral:rRNA from 1 species